ACUCAAACAUGUGCAGAGGGGAAUAGCAGGUUAUGCGUCUCCGUUAGAGACUACUACUGUUACAUGCUGCAAACACGGCCUGCGAUCUUCAAUCCAAUACUUUGUGGAGCAUGCCUACUGCAGCAAUGGGCGGUUGACAUGUACAUCAAGAUUGAGAGCUGUCGGUUGAGGUGGUACAGGAAGAACCAGACGCAGAUCCGUGCCGAUUUGUAUAAAGGAGUUGUUGAUGCGAUCACAUCGGGUGAGACGCGAGCAAGCGCUGUUGGGGUAAGAAUAGUG
rnacentral:rRNA from 1 species